UCGUAACAAGGUUUCCGUAGGUGAACUCUGGCGGAAGGAUCAUUGUCGAAACCUGCACAAGCAGAAAGACCCGUGAACUCGUUAUACAAACACCCGGGGGGCAGCGGCGCUCGGCCGCUUCCCCCCCCGGAAUUCAACGAACCCCGGCGCGGACUGCGCCAAGGACUAAGAACAGAAGCGCGCCGCACGCCACCGGGGGUCUCCCGGUGCGCGGGCGGCGACGUGUCGUCUCGAUACUAAUAGAACGACUCUCGGCAACGGAUAUCUCGGCUCUCGCAUCGAUGAAGAACGUAGCGAAAUGCGAUACUUGGUGUGAAUUGCAGAAUCCCGUGAACCAUCGAGUCUUUGAACGCAAGUUGCGCCCGAAGCCUUCGGGCCAAGGGCACGUCUGCCUGGGCGUCACGCACCGCGUCGCCCCCCACCCCUUCCUUCCGAGGAAGGGGCGUGGGGCGGAGAUUGGCCCCCCGUGCGCUCCCCGCUCGCGGUCGGCCUAAAUACGGACCCCGUGGCCGCGAAAUGCCGCGACGAUUGGUGGUGUACUCCACGGCCCCGUGCCGUCGAGCAUCGCGUCGCGUCUUCCGUGGCCCUCGGGUUUCAAAGGACCCUGGAGGGAGCCCUCCGUUCAGCGCGGACGGGACCCCCUCAACCGUUGCGACCCCAGGUCAGGCGGGACUACCCGCUGAGUUUAAGCAUAUC
rnacentral:rRNA from 1 species